rnacentral:rRNA from 1 species
AAUGAACGUUGGCGGCGUGGAUUAGGCAUGCAAGUCGAGCGAGAAACUUUUUAAAGAUACUUCGGUUGAUUUAAAAAGCGGACAGCGGCGAAAGGGAGAGUAACGAGUAGAUACGUACCCAGGGGUCCGGGAUAGCCAUGCGAAAGCGUGAGUAAUACCGGAUAAUGUCUCCGGACCAAAGAUUUAUUGCCCUUGGAGCGGUCUGCUUACUAUUAGCUUGUUGGUGGGGUAAAGGCCUACCAAGGCGAAGAUGGUUAGCGGGUGUGAGAGCAUGGCCCGUCUCACUGGGACUGAGACACUGCCCAGACACCUACGGGUGGCUGCAGUCGAGAAUCUUCCGCAAUGGACGAAAGUCUGACGGAGCGACGCCGCGUGCGGGAUGAAGGCCUUCGGGUUGUAAACCGCUGUCGUAGGGGAGGAAAUUUUGACCGAUCCUAGGAGGAAGCGCAGGCUAAGUUCG